ensembl:lncRNA
GACCCCAAUUGUAGUGACCCCAUUGUGGUGACCCCAUAGAGAGGACCCCAUUGAGGUGACCCCAUAGAGAGGACCCCAUUGUAGUGACCCCAUUGAAGGGACCCCAAAAAGGGGACCCCAUUGAGGGGAACCCCAAUAUGGUGACCCCAUAAAGGGGACCCCGUAGAAGGGGACCCCAUUGUGGUGACCCCAUAAAGGGGAUCCCAUAGAAGGGACCCCAUAAAGGGGACCCUGUAGAAGGGAAUCCCAUUGUGGUGACCCCAUAAAGGGGACUCCAUUGAGGUGAUCCCACUGAGGUGACCCCAUUGGGGUGACCCCAUAACGAUGUCCCCAUUGUGGUGACCCCAUUGCAGUGACCCCAUUGAGGUGACCCCAUUGCAGUGACCCCACUGAAGUGACCCCAUUGAGGUGACCCCAUAAAGAUGUCCCCAUAGUGGUGACCCCAUUGAGGUGACCCCACUGAACUGACCCCAUUGGGGCGUCCCCAUAAAGAUGUCCCCAUUGCAGUGACCCUAUAGGGAUGACCCCAUUGCAGUGACCCCAUUGUGGUGACCCCAUUGGAGUGACCCCAUUGGGGCGUCCCCCUAAAGAUGUCCCUAUUGGGGUGACCCCAUUGAGGUGACCCCAUUGAGGUGACCCCAUUGAAGUGACCCCAUAACGAUGUCCCCAUUGCGGUGACCCCAUUGAGGUGACCCCACAGAGGUGACCCCAUUGAGGCAACCCCAUUGUGGUGAUCCCAUAACGACGUCCCCAUUGCGGUGACCCCAUUGAGGUGACCCCACUGAGGUGACCCCAUAAAGUUGUCCCCAUUGCGGUGACCCCAUUGAGGUGACCCCAUUGAGGUGACCCCAUAAGUCUGCCCCAAAAAGGGGGCAUCCACCCUAUAACAGUGUCCAUCCACCCCAUAGCAGUGUCCCCACCCCAUAGCAACAUCCCCACCCCAUAGCCGUGUCC